CCUCCAGUGAUUCUAAGCCAACAUUCUGGUCUUGUAGAAGAGGGACUGAGGCCCAGUCUCUGAAUGGGAGCGACAUCAGGCUUCACAGACUGUCCAGCACGGGACUGAGACGUCAAAGGCCUCAGGCUUCUGAAUUUAUCUUGUGAUCUUUGAAACCAGCAACCUGAGAACAGAGCAGGGAGAGGAUGUGUCAGCCAUGGAUGCCAUGGUGGUAGGUACCAAGGAUCAAAGGAGUUGCUCUACUGGAAGCCAGCAUGGAUAGAAG
rnacentral:lncRNA from 1 species